GACGAACGCUGGCGGCGUGCUUAACACAUGCAAGUCGAGCGGUAAGGCCCUUUCGGGGGUACACGAGCGGCGAACGGGUGAGUAACACGUGGGUGACCUGCCUUUAGCUCUGGGAUAAGCCUGGGAAACUGGGUCGUAAUACCGGAUAUGACUCCGCGGUGCAUGCUGUGGGGUGGAAAGCCUUGUGCGGCUGGAGAUGGGCCCGCGGCCUAUCAGCUUGUUGGUGGGGUGAUGGCCUACCAAGGCGACGAC
rnacentral:rRNA from 1 species